UUUUGUGGAAUAGCAUUGGACUUAUCCUGGAGACUGUUCAUGGGCACUGAGAAGAAUGCAUUUUCUGCCAUUCGUUGGGGAGAAGAGAAGGCCCAGGACUAAUACCUGGGAACCCUCCAACAUUUAGAAUUUGUGAAGAGGAGAAAGAAUUGACAAAGGAGGUUAGAAGGAGUGGCCAGUGAAGGAGAAGGAAAAUCCAGAGUGUGGCUGUCCAGCUAAGUGAAGAAAUCCCCCAGGGAAAUGAGAAUUUGCAUGAAGACUGGCUUAAACGGAACCCAGUGGACUUGUCAUCUUCAGUGCCUCAGAGACUAGUGGAUGGCCUUGGAAACACCUGGCUUUAACCCAAUAGUACCAAGCCAUCAUUUUGAUAGACCCUUGGGACAAUUUCUCCCACCUGGAGAAGGAAUCUCAGAACUAAAGCCAAACUAUUUUAGAGGGAAGGCGGGGAGAAGGCUGGAGAAUCGGUUUUGGGAAAGGGCAUGAAGUAGGGCAGUUCUGGAAAGCACGACAGCAGGAAUGACCGGGCUGACCUUGCAAUUCCUAGGCAUAUAGAAGGUAGAUCUGAUGACUAGAUAACUAAAAAGAAGCUAUAAAAAAGGAAAAGAACACUUCCUACAAACUGAUAAAGAGAGAUCUCCAAGAUGAUUUAAAUGAAAAGAGUAAAUUGCAGAACAGUGUGAAUAAAUAUGCUAUCUUUUCUGUAAAAGGUUGGGAAAAUCAUCCUAUAUAA